rnacentral:rRNA from 1 species
GACGAACGCUGGCGGCGUGCUUAACACAUGCAAGUCGAACGAUGAAGCCGGAGCUUGCUCUGGUGAAUUAGUGGCGAACGGGUGAGUAACACGUGAGUAACCUGCCCUUGACUCUGGAAUAACUGCUAGAAAUGGUAGCUAAUACCGGAUACGACCCUCGGAGGCAUCUCCAGGGGGUGGAAGGAAUUUCGGUCAAGGAUGGACUCGCGGCCUAUCAGCUAGUUGGUGAGGUAACGGCUCACCAAGGCGACGACGGGUAGCCGGCCUGAGAGGGUGACCGGCCACACUGGGACUGAGACACGGCCCAGACUCCUACGGGAGGCAGCAGUGGGGAAUAUUGCACAAUGGGCGCAAGCCUGAUGCAGCAACGCCGCGUGAGGGAUGACGGCCUUCGGGUUGUAAACCUCUUUUAGUAGGGAAGAAGCGAAAGUGACGGUACCUGCAGAAAAAGCACCGGCUAACUACGUGCCAGCAGCCGCAGUAA